AUAAGGAGUCGGACCUGCCCGGUGAUAACUUUAAACGGCCGCGGUACUUUGACCGUGCAAAGGUAGCAUAAUAAUUUGCCUUAUAAUUAAAGGCUAGUAUGAAUGGUUUGACAAGAAUAAAACUGUCUCUGUUGUAAUUAUGUUGAAUUUUAUUUUCAGGUGAAGAAGCCUAAAUAUAAUUAAAAGACAAGAAGACCCUAUCGAGCUUUAAAAAAAUUAAUGAAAUAAAAAAUAUAAUAUAUAAAUUUACAUUUGUUAAAAAUUUUGGUUGGGGCGACCAAGGAACAAAUAAAGCUUCUAGUUUAUUUGAUAACAUACUUGUAUUGAUCCAAAAUAUUUUGAUUAAAGAAAUUAGUUACCGUAGGGAUAACAGCAUUAUCUUUUUUGAGAGUUCGUAUUGAAAAAAAGGUUUGUGACCUCGAUGUUGGACCAGAAUAUCCUAAAGAUGCAGAAGUCUUUAAGGGUUGGUCUGUUCGACCAUUAAAAUUCUA
rnacentral:rRNA from 1 species